rnacentral:rRNA from 1 species
GCUACGGCCAUACCAGCCUGGGUACGCCCGAUCUCGUCUGAUCUCGGAAGCUAAGCAGGGUCGUGCCUGGUUAGUACUUGGAUGGGAGACCGCCUGGGAAUACCAGGUGCUGUAAGCA